ensembl:lncRNA
GGGGGAGGCAGGUAGCCUAGUGGUUAGAGUGUAGGGGAGGCAGGUAGCCUAGUGGUUAGAGUGUAGGGGCGGCAGGUAGCCUAGUGGUUAGAGUGGGGGAGGCAGGUAGCCUAGUGGUUAGAGUGGGGGAGGCAGGUAGCCUAGUGGUUAGAGUGGGGGAGGCAGGUAGCCUAGUGGUUAGAGUGGGGGAGGCAGGUAGCCUAGUGGUUAGAGUGGGGGAGGCAGGUAGCCUGGUGGUUAGAGUGUAGGGGCGGCAGGUAGCCUGGUGGUUAGAGUGUAGGGGCGGCAGGGCAGCCUAGUGGUUAGAGUGUAGAGGGGGCAGGGCAGCCUAGUGGUUAGAGUGUAGAGGGGGCAGGGCAGCCUAGUGGUUAGAGUGUGGGGGCGGCAGGUAGCCUAGUGGUUAGAGUGUUGGGCCAGUGACCUGAAAGUAGUUAGUAUAUAUACAGUAGUUAGUAUAUUCAGAUAGCUAGGUGAGACAACCACAUAUCACAGUAGUUAGUAUAUUCAGAUAUCUUCAGACCCAUCCCCAGUGCCCAGUCCACAGUCCUAUUCCCCAAUCCAUUACCUCAGCAGUACCAGUCAGUCCAUUACCUCAGCAGUACCAGUCAG